rnacentral:rRNA from 1 species
AAGGAUCAUUAUUGAAUGAAUGUAGAGUCGGUUGUCGCUGGUCCCUUCGGGGGCAUGUGCACGCCUUCUCUUUCAUCCACACACACCUGUGCACUCGUGAGACGGAAGCCCUCGGGCGUCCGUCUGCUCUACAUAAACUCAUAUCUAUAACUCGAAUGUAAUUGAUGUAACACAUCCUUAAACUAAGUUUCAACAACGGAUCUCUUGGCUCUCGCAUCGAUGAAAACGCAGCGAAAUGCGAUAAGUAAUGCGAAUUGCAGAAUUCAGUGAAUCAUCGAAUCUUUGAACGCACCUUGCGCUCCUUGGUAUUCCUUGGAGCAUGCCUGUUUGAGUAUCAUGAAAUUAUCAAAAUAAUUCUUUCGUUCGUUCGAUUGAAUUUUAUUUUGGACUUGGAGGUCUGCAGAUUCACGUCUGCUCCUCCUAAAUAAAUUAGCUGGAUCUCAGUGAGCUCGGUUCCACUCGGCGUGAUAAGUAUCACUCGCUGAGGACACUGUAAAAGGUGGCCGGGAUUGCGGAUGAACCGCUUCCAAUCGUCUAUUUACUUAGACAACAAUACUUUAUGAUCUGAUCUCAAAUCAGGUAGGACUACCCGCUGAACUUAAGCAUAUCAAUAAGCGGAGGAAAAGAAACUAACAAGGAUUCCCCUAGUAACGGCGAGUGAAGCGGGAAGAGCUCAAAUUUAAAAUCUGGCGGUGUACUCCGUCCGAGUUGUAGUCUAGAGAAGCAUCAUCCGUGCCGGACCAUGUACAAGUCUCUUGGAACAGAGCGUCAUAGAGGGUGAGAAUCCCGUCCUUGACAUGGACUCCCGGUGCUUUGUGUUGAGCUCUCAACGAGUCGAGUUGUUUGGGAAUGCAGCUCAAAAUGGGUGGUAAAUUCCAUCUAAAGCUAAAUAUUGGCGAGAGACCGAUAGCGAACAAGUACCGUGAGGGAAAGAUGAAAAGCACUUUGGAGAGAGAGUUAAACAGUACGUGAAAUUGUUGAAAUGGAAACGAUUGAAGUCAGUCGCGUUCUCUGGGAUUCAGCCUUGCUUCUGCUUGGUGCAUUUCCUAGUCUACGGGCCAGCAUGGAUUUCGACCGUUGGAAAAGGGCUGGGGGAAUGUGGCACCUUCGGGUGUGUUAUAGCCCCUUGUCGCAUGCAUCGGUUGGGAUCGAGGACCUCAGUGCACGCUUCGGUUGUGCUUUGAUGCUGGCGUAAUGGCUUUAAACGACC